rnacentral:rRNA from 1 species
AGAGUUUGAUCCUGGCUCAGGAUGAACGCUAGCGGCAGGCCUAAUACAUGCAAGUCGAACGGGUGUAGCAAUACACUAGUGGCGCACGGGUGCGUAACGCGUAACCAACCUGCCCUUGACUGGGGGAUAGCCCGCCGAAAGGCGGAUUAAUACCGCAUAAACUAGCAGCCCGGCAUCGGGUAACUAGUAAAGAUUUAUUGGUCAAGGAUGGGGUUGCGUGACAUUAGCUAGUUGGCGGGGUAACGGCCCACCAAGGCGACGAUGUCUAGGGGAGCUGAGAGGCUGAUCCCCCACACUGGCACUGAGAUACGGGCCAGACUCCUACGGGAGGCAGCAGUAGGGAAUAUUGGGCAAUGGGCGAGAGCCUGACCCAGCCAUGCCGCGUGCCGGAUGAAGGCCUUCUGGGUUGUAAACGGCUUUUCUCAGGGAAGAAAAAGGGUAUGCGUACCACACUGACGGUACCUGAGGAAUAAGCACCGGCUAACUCCGUG